AUGAAGCUGGAAUCGCUAGUAAUCGCGGAUCAGAAUGCCGCGGUGAAUACGUUCCCGGGUCUUGUACACACCGCCCGUCACACCAUGGGAGUCGGAAAUGCCCGAAGUCUGUGACCUAACCGUAAGGAAGGAGCAGCCGAAGGCAGGUCGGAUGACUGGGGUGAAGUCGUAACAAGGUAAC
rnacentral:rRNA from 1 species